ACGCCGAGGAGUCAUAAAAGAUUCCAAGAGCAAAUAAAAUACACUGUUUUGUCUUAACAUACUCAACUUCUACUCGUUAAAUUAAGAAAAGCACUCAAUGCUGUUUACUUUUCUGAAUCGGCCAUUGCCAUUUUGCAUUUACAGCCAUUAAAGGAUUGCAUAAAACCCCCUAUCAAGCUUCAGAAAAGAAAACUUUGAAAGACAAACCCAUACCGUUGCGGUGCACUGCAGGUGGUUGAAUUGAUGAAAAACAGAGGAUCACAUGCACCGACCCGCCCCGCAACCAGAACACAAAACAGGCACACCUAAAUUUUGUGGCGCCACAAUUAUUAUUCUCAUCCACUGCCCGUUCCACACCUACUUCAAUCCCAAUGAGUCCAUCCUCAUUUAAGUCCGUUAACUACCACUUGUUUAGGCCUCCUUUUACUCUGUCUUUCGGUUCUUUGCUGAGGAAGCUGACGACACCUCUUGCUUGUGUCUAUCCAUCCCGGUUGUAUUCGUCAUCAAGUUCUGGUACAUUAAUGGAGGUAGUCAAAGAAGUUGUCAAGCAAGGUUCUGCGGCUGGUGAUGGUGUAGCUAUUAGAGCUGAUAAGCGAAGUUACAGCUACGUACAACUCAUUUCCUCGGCAUUGAAGAUAUCUAAUAUUUUAAGCAGUAAUGACUUAAAAACUGGCUACAAAGAAAGCAAAUAUGAAGAGUCUUCUCUCUCUGUUGAUGGUGUGGGAGAACUUGGACAUCUUCGUGGAGCUCGAAUAGGAAUUGUGGCCAAACCUUCAGCUGAGUUUGUUGCUGGAAUGCUAGGGAUCUGGUUGAGCGGAGGUGUUGCUGUUCCGCUUGCACUCUCCUACCCUGAGGCUGAGCUGCUACAUGUGAUGAAUGAUUCGGAUGUUUCCAUGGUACUAAGUACUGAGGAUCAUCAUGAGUUUCUGCAAGAAGUUGCAUCAAAAUGUGCUGCUAGAUUUUCUCUUAUUCCACCCCUUCCGAGUGUUUCUUCACAGAAAAAUGCAUCUGAUCAUCCACAACCUGGAGAAAUAGAUGAACAUGGAAUUUUUCAGGGGAAUAUUAAGAGCUCAAGUGAGGAUCCGGCUCUGAUUGUAUACACAAGUGGUACAACAGGUAAACCCAAAGGAGUUGUUCACACGCACAGAGGCAUCACUGCACAGGUACAAACGUUGAAAGAAGCUUGGGGUUAUACAUCGGAUGACCGGUUUUUGCAUUGCCUACCGCUACAUCAUGUUCAUGGGCUUUUUAAUGCUUUACUAGCCCCUCUCUAUGCGGGUUCAACGGUUGAGUUCAUGCCAAAAUUUAGUGUAAGGGGAAUUUGGCAGAGAUGGUGUGAGUCAUAUCCAAUCAAGGGGACUAGGGCCGAUGAUGCCAUAACUGUGUUUACAGGAGUUCCAACUAUGUACACUCGAUUGAUACAAGGUUAUGAAGCGAUGGAUCCAGAGGUACAAGCUGCUUCCGCCUCUGCAGCAAGGCAGUUGCGGCUUAUGAUGUGUGGCUCCUCGGCACUUCCUCAACCUGUCAUGCAACAAUGGCAAACAAUCACCGGACAUCGCCUGUUGGAACGAUAUGGCAUGACUGAAUUUGUCAUGGCAAUAUCAAAUCCUUUAAGAGGUAUGCGGAAGGCUGGCACGGUUGGCAAACCACUUCCUGGUGUGCAGGUCAAGAUUCUACCAGAGGAUAAGAAUGGAGAUGAUAUAGAUGGGGUGGGUGAGCUUUGCGUUAAAAGCCCUUCAUUGUUUAAGGGAUAUUGGAAACUUCCUGAGGUAACUAAGGAAUCAUUUAUUGACGGUGGCUUCUUUAGGACUGGAGAUGCUGGUAAAGUGGAUGAAGAUGGAUACUAUGUCAUUUUGGGGCGUACAAGUGCUGAUAUUAUGAAGGUUGGCGGAUACAAAUUAUCUGCUCUAGAAAUUGAAUCAGUCAUUUUGGAGCAUCCAGCUGUCACAGAAUGUUGUGUGUUGGGCUUACCAGACAAAGAUUACGGAGAAGCUGUCUGUGCAAUUAUUGUGCCUGAUGCAAACACAAAGAAAAUACAGGAGGAAAAUUUGAAACCUGCGGUAACCUUGGAGGAACUCUGCUCUUGGGCUAAAGAAAAACUUGCACCAUACAAGCUACCAACCCGCUUGUUCCUAUGGGAGGCGCUGCCUCGUAAUGCUAUGGGAAAGGUGAAUAAAAAAGAGUUGAAGAAACUGCUGGCAGCCGAGCAGUAAACGAAUAUAGACUGGAGAUCAUAAAUCAUGCAUAUCACAUUCGGUUUUCGGAUUCAGUUAUUUACAAGAAGGAAAUAUCGAUCAAAAGGAGGCCCGUUAGCUACAAGGCUGACUCUAGACGGGCCUUGUUCAGUAGCGGAUGCUUGGUCCAGCUUCCCCCCAUUGUGGGCUUGUACCAGCUUUAUUUUCAAAGGAUUGCUGGGUGCCCUCUCAGGUACACAAAUUUUAAGCAGUGAUCCGACUCUGGUCAGCUCUUGCGUAAGGGCCAGCGUCAUGCUAAAUUUAAGAUCCCAUGGAUCUUGUCGUAGACUUCUCAAUCUAAUUGCUAAAAAUUAUGGCAACGUACUUGUAUUUUUUAAUGUUUUUGUUGUUAGGAUUUUUAGUGAGAAUGAGAUAGAUGCGUAAAGUGAGUCUCACCAUAUUUAAUACUCUCAAAAAAUGUGUUUAUAAUUAUAAAUAUUACGAGACUCAUUUUAUGAAUUUAUAUAUAUCUCUUAUAUUCUAGAUCAAAACUCAAUGAAACUCGAAUCCAUGACUAAUUAUUUUCUCAUUCUCAAGCAGUAAUUAUUAAUACAACGUUGAAAGAAUAAUAAUUUGAAAUGGCUUAAUGUCAUUCAAGUUAACAAAAUUCUCUCUCCUUUUUAUUUA